rnacentral:snRNA from 1 species
GGGUGAGAGGGUGAUCUGACUGUGACAUCCGUCACCCCUUUGAUCNCCACAGUUGAAUUGACUGGUCUGGCUAGCUAGUCAGGUGUCUGCUUCUUUUCUUACCACUCCAUGUGCAUCCCUCCUGAGUCUGCAUGGUUGGUGCAAGAGGAUGGCCAUCCUACCUAGAAGGAGUGUAUCAUUCUUCAGUCAAGGAUAUGUGAUAGCUGCACUUCCCUGAUAGAAGCUACAGGGGCUGUUAGAAAUUUAGACAACUUAGUAGACCACUCUGAUGUUCAGAAAGGGCCAUUUCAACAAGUAAACCUUGCUAUGCUGU